GUCCACGCUGUAAACGAUGUCGAUUUGGAGGUUGUGCCCUUGAGGCGUGGCUUCCGGAGCUAACGCGUUAAAUCGACCGCCUGGGGAGUACGGCCGCAAGGUUAAAACUCAAAUGAAUUGACGGGGGCCCGCACAAGCGGUGGAGCAUGUGGUUUAAUUCGAUGCAACGCGAAGAACCUUACCUGGUCUUGACAUCCACAGAACUUUCCAGAGAUGGAUUGGUGCCUUCGGGAACUGUGAGACAGGUGCUGCAUGGCUGUCGU
rnacentral:rRNA from 1 species